UUCAUCCCGCCCGUCUUCCCCAGUCCUCCUUGAUCCUCCUCCUUGUAGCCAGAACGUGACCAAGGUAUAUGUUGAUCUAUGGGCGGCAUAGAGAUCCCCUUUUGCCCUAUCUUUGCCCUCUUCACGUUGAUCUGCAAGUUUAUGUGGUAUAAAAAUCUCCCUUUUGCCCUAUCGCUCUACUGAUUGUUCUCCUCCCGCUGAUCUGCAAGUGGUGUGGAUGAUCUCCCUUUUGAACUCACUUCUACCAUCCUUCUCCUAGCAACAAAAAAGAAGUUGAUCAAUCUCAAGGUAUGUGACAUGUGGUCUUAUUCAUGUUCUCAAGGCAACAAGAGAAUUCCUAGACUGAUUUUGCUAUAUGAUCACAGAUUACAAAAAAGGACAAGGUUUAGUGGAGAAUAUGAUUAACGGCAAUGAAGAUUCAAACAGGUAACAUCAAUUUUAAUAAAUUCAGCAGCUAAAUUGCAGAGGAGUCGCACCCUCCAAACAACUAGUAGAAAAUUAGAAGUAAUAAGGAAGGAAGGAGAUCCAAAAUUUAUUCCUGCACCUUUUGGAUGAUGUUAGAGUGAAAAAAAAUAUUUGAACAGAAGUGAUCUCUAUUGUUCUAAAUAGCUCAAGAUAAAAUACAUGAAUGUAGUCAGACCUUUACAUGCAAGUUGUACCAUAGGAAAAUACAUGAAUGUAGUCAUACCUGUAGAUGCGAGUUGUACCAUAGGUGCUUUGCUAACAGAAGUGAUCUCUAUUGUUUUGAAUAAUCUCAAGAUAAAAUACAUUAAUGUAGUUAGAUCUGUAGAUGCAAGUUGUACCAUAGGUGCUUUGCUCGUGAAGUACUUGGGAUUUCCAAUAAUUGACAGGAGAUUAAUGUAGAUGAUCUCCCUUUUGCCUCUUCCUUCUCCUAGCACAAAAAAGAUGAUCAAUCUUGAGGUAUGUAACAUAUGCUCUAAUUGUAUUCAUGUUCUCAAGGCAGCAAGAGAAUUCCUAUAGACCGAGUUUGCUAUGCUAUCACAGAUUACAAAAAAGGAAACUAAAAGGUGUAAUCCAGAAUAUGACCAACUCCAAGAAAGAUUCAAACAUGUACACUCUAUUUUUUUUUUAAAUUCUCAUGCCAUAUCAUCAAAUUCUUGUAGUGUAACUAGACAAAUAAAUUAAGAUAUGCCUAUUUUUUACAGGGCAAAUAUGGUUCCUAGUUGGAUGCCUCAAAUUGGUAUGAAAUUUAAUUCCACAAAAGAGGCUUGGGGCUUUUGGACUUGUUAUGGAGGUCAUAUUGGUUUUGACGUAAGGGUAAAUUAUGAAAAUAAGAGCAAACUUGAUGGGGCAAUCACUUCCGCGAGAUACGUUUGUUCCAAUGAGGGCUACCGAAGAAUAGACAAAAGAGAUCAUAAUACCAAGCGUCCUCGUGCAGAAACAAGGACUGGUUGUAAAGUUCGAAUGGGAAUCACCAUCGACCAUGAAACAGGAAAUUAUGAAGUACAUGAGUUAGUCACUGAACACAACCAUGUCUUGCAAUUGCCUGGAACAUGCCACUUGAUGCCAUCACAGCGGAAGAUAUCGACCUUGCAAGCUUUUGACAUUGAAAUUGCAGAUGAUUCAGGAAUUGUACCAAAAGCAGCCCAUGAGUUGGCAAGUCGGCAAGUUGGUGGGUCAUCAAACCUUACCUACACACCUCGUGAUCACAAGAACUAUUUGCGAACCAAGCGUCAAAGGGAGUUGAUAUAUGGUGAAGCUGGAAGUAUGCUCAAGUACUUUCGAGAUAAAAAAAUGAGAAUCCUGCAUUUGAAUAUGACGUACAACACGACUGCAAUGAACAAAUAGCAAAUAUCUUCUGGGCUGAUGCGAAGAUGAUCAUUGACUAUGCUCACUUCGGUGAUGUUGUUACGUUUGAUACUACAUUUGGGACAAAUAAAGAGUACAGACCCUUUGGUGUAUUUGUUGGCUUCAACCAUUUUAGGGAAAUGUUCAUUUUUGGUGCUGCACUUCUAUACGACGAGACAUUUGAAUCCUUCAGAUGGUUGUUCAACACUUUCCUAUCCAUACAUAACAAAAAGCAGCCUAGAACUAUCUUUACUGACCAGGACGUAGCAAUGGGUAAUGCAAUUCGGGCGGUAUUUACGGAAGCAUGGCAUGGAUUGUGCACUUUUCACAUAAUGCAAAAUGCCAUCAAACAUUUACCUCAUAAGAAAAAAGACGAGGAUGGCCCAAAUGUACUUGCUGAUUUCAGUGCUUGCAUGUACAAGUAUGAGGAAGAGGAAGACUUUGAAGAAGCUUUCACUGCCAUAAGAAUCAAUGUGGAUACACAGACUUGGUUGGACAGUAUCUAUAAAGUAAAAGAGAAAUGGGCAAGAUGUUACAUGAGGAAUGCUUACACUAUAGGCAUGAGAAGCACACAAUCAAGUGAGAGCUUGAAUAGUGACUUGGAAGACCAUUUGAAGUCUGAUCUUGACAUUCUUUGUUUUUUCAAGCACGUAGAGAGGGUUGUGAAAGGAAAGAGAGAUAAAGAGGUAAAUGAAGAAUAUGAGUCUAGGAAAAAAUUACCUAGAGUUAGAAUAAGAACUCCUACAGUAAUACAAGCAAGCAAAGUUUACACACCUCACAUAUUUGAAGAUUUUCAGAAUGAAUAUGAAAGAUCCAUCUCAUCGUACAUCAAGCCAUCGAAGGAACACAAUGUAUAUACUGUUGAAAUUGCCAAUCUUGACCCGGAAUGCUCUUAUGAGGAAGAAUGCAAAGUUCUGGUUGAUGAAGAGCAAAAAGUUCUAUGUAGUUGUGGUCAAUUCGAAAGAGUUGGUAUAUUGUGUAGUCAUGCUUUGAAAGCCCUUGAUGUCAUGAAUAUUAAGUAUCUUCCAAGCCACUAUAUUUUGAAGCGAUGGACUCGAGAAGCACGAAGCGGGACUAUUCAAAACAGCCAUGGCAACAUUGUUUUGGAAGACCCUAGAUCGGAAGAUAGGCAGCAGCUUAAGUUUUUCAUGCAUGAGUUCCUUGGCAUAGCUUCCCAAGCAGUUGCAUCACAAGAGUGCAUAAAAUUAGUAGAUGAUGCUUUGAAGAAUCUAAAGAAGCAAGUUGAAGACAAAGCUCCUACUACUACAUGCAGAACUGAAGCUAUAUCUCAGGAACCAGACAUUUGUUUGCAAACAGCUUGUCUGAAUAAAAACGAAAUUCAGCAGAAGACUUCAAAAAGGAAGAAAUCAUGGCUUGAUAAUCAACAUCCCAGUAAAAAGAAAAAAGGGGCAGCUAAAGUCAUUCCCGAAAAACAAUCUUCUUCUGUAAAUCUCUUAUCACUUAUCAAAACAGCCUAUAGAUUUACUAAUAACUCAACUAAUGUUUAUUCUGAUUUAUUUUUUGCAUAGACAGGAGAGAAGUACAUUCCAUGGGAAGCACCUAUAGAGAAAAUGACUGGAACAAAUGCAGACGGUUUGCAGGAAUAUGGGUACUAUGCUCGUUUACUAACGGUAUUCCACUUAUCUUGUCCAAAAUUCCUAAAAUCCAUUUGUAAGCAAUAUGAUUAUUUGUGUGUAUAAAAUCUGGUAUGUCUCUCUUUAAUAUACAGAGUGAAGCCAAUGAUAUUUGGGACUUGGAAACAAAUUCAUAUUUUUCUCGGAUAUGACAAUAGUUUGAUAGAGAAAUAAGAGGAGAGUCAUGCAUUUGUGUGGUUCGUCUCCUCUGCAUCAACCUCAACUACAGCCGUGACUACAGCCGUGAACUGCAGCUAGUAAUUCCUUCUAUUUGUGAUGUGUUUAGUACUUAAGGCAAAUACAGAGAGAGCAACCUCUGCAUCCUGUUAUGAUACGUGAACAGGAAGAGCAACUUUUGCUUCUGUUUAUCUGUUUUAAAGUGAGGAAAAAUAAAAGUAGAGUAGCACUUAGUUUUGCUGAUGUGUGAAGGGGCAAGGACUUGAGCAUUUACGUCACAGUAUCCUGGUUUCCAAACAAGAUGAACCAAAAACUGACUUACAGUAUUCUAGAAAUUUGCUAGUCAGAACCAUGCCAAAAUCUCUAUGGAGAGUGAGACCACGACACAACGGCGCAAUCAAAUCAAAUGCAAUUGCAGUAAGAUAACAAUCGGUAUUUAGACCACAACAUAGCAACGUUGAGAAAUACAGGCUACAUACAUAUAAUUCUAAAGAUUUGGACGGACAAUAUCAAUGGACAGGGGACCAAACAUACUGUCAUGCUACAUACUACAAGGUAGGAGCUAGCCACGUACUGACCUGUGCCUCUCCCGAGCUCAAGAAGCGCCCGCACGGCGAUAUCUCCUUCCUGGACUGUGGCGGCGCGGGGCCGGGCGGCCGGUAGAUCCCCAUCGGCGAGCGGCUGGAGGAAGCGGGCAGCUUCAAUCGAGGUGAGGGACGUAGGGCGGCGCAGCCUGAGGAGGGUGGAGUCCUCCCACGUACCUGACUUCCAUGGUGUCGGCCGGUGAGCCCAGGGAACGGCGCCUUGCGGCGGAUCGUGGGAAAGCCGGGGACACAGCCGUAGCGCAGCAGGUGGGCGUGGAGGUCCAUCCGUCGGACCGUCGCUAGGGGAGGGAGUGUGCUUGGCUGGAGAUAUGAACCCUCGCCAGCGGCGAGGUCGUCUGCUCGCCCUUGCCUCAAUCUCUUUGCUCUCCAGUCUUUAGGGCAUCUCCAGCCGCGCCUCCAACAGGCCCUUCCCAGGCGAUUUUGCCGCGCCAGCGCCAAAAAAAGGCCCCAGUCGCGCCCAGAAGCCCGUUUUUCGCCGGCUCGGGCCAAAACUGGUGCCGGCGGACCCAGGCCGAACCCGGCGCCCUGGGGGGCGCUUGGGGAGCGGGCACAAACGAAAAAGGCGCGUGGACCCGCCCUGGAAGCGACCCGAGGGCCUUUUCCCGCUGUUGCUCGACGCUUUUCCUUCGCAUCUCUCCCGCUCGCUCACCUUCCUCCCGCCACUCUCUCCCUUUCUCCCGCCAAACCCCCUCCCGCUCGCUCGCCGCGAAGAAGCACGCCAUGCCGCCGAAGAAGUACGCCAUGACGCACGCGGUGGCACCCGCGACUGGCGCCGUGGCCCGACCGAAGCAGAGGAAGCCGAGGGCGCCGCCAUUGAAGCCACCGGGCCUGUCGAACGCCGAGUGGAGGGUGGAAGUUCAGUGGCGCGAAAGCAGUCACCGCCGACAGGCGGAAUAGGGCCAUAGCCAAGAAGGCCCGCGACAACGCGGCGUGCGCGGCGGCGUCUUCCUCAUCGGUCGACCAGGCGGGGAUGAAUACCCCCGUCGUCAGCCACGCCCAAUACGCGCCCUAAGGACAGCAAGGUGCCGGAUCUCCAUGGGGUUCAUCGUCGCCCGGCUACACCGACGGCGACGCGCACGGUGGGUUCAACCCAAACGUGACCUUCCCUAAUGGUCACCCCGCUACGCGCACACCCUCGCCCGCCUUCGCCGGCAUGCAGUACUCUCCAUACAACUACUCGCCGCCCACCUCAUACGCGUCCACACCGACGCCCCAUCUCUACCGCGGACCACUGCCCUUCUCGCACCUCGGCGACACCGACGACACGGGAGCCGACAUGGACGACAUCAUCGCGACAGGAUCGACCGCGGCCGCUGCGUCUCCCGGGUUCGCCACCCAGGACGAGGUAGUGGACCUCAAAGGCGACAUGGAGGUCAAGCUCGGCUACGUCUACGGCGACGACAUGCAGGAGCCCGAGGAGGAGGAGGAGGAGGAGGAGCCGGCUCCUGCUCCGACGAAGGGGCGCCGGAAGAAGAAGAAGCGGGCGGCUAGGUCAGGCGAACCGCGCAUCAAGUGGACGUCCAAGGAGGAGGAAUGCCUCACCGAAGCAUGGAAAGUCGACUGCCUCGACCCGACCACCGGCGCGAACCAGAGCUUGGACACGUACUAGGACCGCAUCAAGGCCGAGUUCGCCGAGCGGAAGCUCGUCGACCCCUACUUCAAAGGCAUCUACAUGCAGCACAGCUCCAAGGCGAUGGCGAACCAUUGGGGGCGUGUCCAGUUGGCGUGCAACAAAUGGCAUGGAAUCGUCGAGGAGGUCGCGGCUUGCCCGGAGAGUGGCACCAGCAUUGAGGAUCAGCUAUGCACGCCGUUCGCCCGCAUAUCUUCGUCCCCUACGCCCGCCGCCAGCCAACUGUUUGCCCCUCCGCGCAGCUGCUGCGUAGGUUCGCCAUGUAUCGGGGCGACAACCAAGACGCCGACUUCAAGCACCUCCACGUCUACAAGCGCAUUGACAAGUGCGAGAAGUGGGCAGAAGUCCGGCGUGCCCUCGACAAGGCCAAGGAGACAUACAAGCCAGACGCGACGACUCCGGGCGCGUCAGAGGGACGGCCGGACGGCCACAAAUUGGAAAUGAAGGGGAAAAGCGCCGACGCGGCAACCGCGCGAGUGCAGGAGUCCAUCGAGCAUUGCCUCGCCGACGCCCAGGCCCAGGCCGUCCUACGCGAAGAGAAGACCGAGGCGCGGUGGUCGUCGCUAAUGAAGAACAACGCCAUCAAGCUCGACCUGCUCCGGAUGAACGUCGCCGCGAAGAAGAGGAACACCGAGAUGGCUUUUUCGAUGAGCGGGGCGGACAUGCUCCAGAGCAACGACGAGAAGCUCAAGGCGUGGUACCUGGUGCAGCGCGGCCUCAUCCUGAACGAGUUGCCGACGGCAACGCCGACGACGCCCACGACCGCACGAACGUCAAGCCCGAAUGACACCUCCUCUACAUCGCCGCUCAGCAGUGCCGAAGCCGCGCCGACGCAGCCCUGCGCUGAAGCAGCUCCGACACCGACGACCCCCCCGCACGCCGACUCCGCCAACGCCUGGAGCCGACCCCGCCGAGUGAAUCGUUGCACGGCGGUGCUCUGUUUUUUGUAACGCCAGACUACGUCCAUCCGAUCGCCGGAUUUGCGGUGUCUUUUGAGAGCGGGAACGACCAAGUUUGAAUUUCCCGCAUCCUGGGGCCGGCGCGUGGGGGCGUGACUGGGAGCUAGGUCGCCCCCAGGGUAAGAACUAGCGCCGGCACGCCCCCAGGCCGCUCUAUUUAGGCGCCCUGGGGGGCCGAACGGCUGGAGAUGCCCUUACUGUGUGGUGUGCAGUGUGAACGGAAGCAUUUAUCCGAAUACAUAAAGGCAUUAUUAACAGAAAUAAGUGGGGAAAUUAGAGCAGUCAGAUGGGAAUUGACGGCCGAUGUGGAAGUCUACAACACGUGUGCUGUAGUAGUUUGACUGCGGAGGAGCCGACGAGAGGGUUCGGCUCCUCUGCAGUCGAACUACUACAGCAGGCGUGCUGUAGACGUCCACAUCGGCCGUCAAUUUCCAUCUGACCACUCUAAUUUCCCCACUUAUUUCUUUUAAAAAAAUGAAAACAAACACCCAAUUUGUCUGCUGAAAAAUCUCCUACGGCUGCUUGGCGCCAAACAGAACGCACGUUGGCGCCAAAUAGCGAUUCCAUGCCUUCGUCGCCAAACAGAACGAUGUCGCCAAACAGCGAUCUCUAUGCCUUCAUCCCGCCCGUCUUCCCCAGUCCUCCUUGAUCCUCCUCCUUGUAGCCAGAACGUGACCAAGGUAUAUGUUGAUCUAUGGGCGGCAUAGAGAUCCCCUUUUGCCCUAUCUUUGUCCUCUUCACGUUGAUCUGCAAGUUUAUGUGGUAUAAAAAUCUCCCUUUUGCCCUAUCGCUCUACUGAUUGUUCUCCUCCCGCUGAUCUGCAAGUGGUGUGGAUGAUCUCCCUUUUGAACUCACUUCUACCAUCCUUC
rnacentral:lncRNA from 1 species